rnacentral:miRNA from 1 species
AAUGGAAUUGCUGGGUCAUAUGGUAAUUCUCUAAUAAUUUGAAGCACUCAUACCAUAGUGGCUGUACCAUUUUACAUUCCUACCAGCAGU